rnacentral:rRNA from 1 species
AGAGUUUGAUCCUGGCUCAGGACGAACGUUGGCGGUGCGCUUAAUGCAUGCAAGUCGAGGGAGAACCAUUUGAUUCGUAAGAUUCGAAUGGGGAAACCGGCGAACGGGUGCGUAACACGUGAGGAACCUGCCCUGAAGAUCGGGAUAGCCCGGGGAAACCCGGAUUAAUACCGAAUAUCCUCUCCGGACCGCAUGGUCUGGUGAGGAAAUGGUCCGCCGCUUCAGGAUGGCCUCGCGGCCUAUCAGCUUGUUGGUGAGGUAACGGCUCACCAAGGCUAAGACGGGUAGCUGGUCUGAGAGGACGAUCAGCCACACUGGGACUGAGACACGGCCCAGACUCCUACGGGAGGCAGCAGCAGGGAAUAUUGCACAAUGGGCGAAAGCCUGAUGCAGCGACACCGCGUGCGGGAUGAAGGCCUUCGGGUUGUAAACCGCUUUCAGGAGGGACGAAAAUGACGGUACCUCCAGAAGAAGGCCCGGCCAACUACGUGCCAGCAGCCGCGGUAACACGUAGGGGCCAAACGUUGUCCGGAUUUAUUGGGCGUAAAGGGCUCGUAGGCGGUUCAACAAGUCGAUCGUGAAAUGCCGGGGCUCAACCCCGGAACGCCGGUCGAAACUGUUGUGACUAGGGUCCGGUAGAGGUGAGUGGAAUUCUCGGUGUAGCGGUGGAAUGCGCAGAUAUCGAGAGGAACACCAGUUGCGAAGGCGGCUCACUGGGCCGGUACCGACGCUAAGGAGCGAAAGCAUGGGGAGCAAACAGGAUUAGAUACCCUGGUAGUCCAUGCCGUAAACUGUGAACACUAGGUGUGGCGGAUCUAUUGAUGUCUGCCGUACCGUAGCUAACGCGUUAAGUGUUCCGCCUGGGGAGUACGGCCGCAAGGCUAAAACUCAAAGGAAUUGACGGGACCCCGCACAAGCGGCGGAGCAUGCGGCUUAAUUCGAUGCAACCCGAAGAACCUUACCUGGACUUGACAUCAUGGGUCUACCUGUGGAAACACAGGGUGCUUUUGCGCCCAUGACAGGUGGUGCAUGGCUGUCGUCAGCUCGUGUCGUGAGAUGUUGGGUUAAGUCCCGCAACGAGCGCAACCCCUGUCCUAUGUUGCCAGCGGAUCAUGCCGGGGACUCUAGGGAGACUGCCGGUGUUAAACCGGAGGAAGGUGGGGAUGACGUCAAGUCCUCAUGGCCUUUACGACCAGGGCUGCACACGUCCUACAAUGGCGCGUACAGAGGGAUGCAAACUCGCGAGAGUAAGCAAAUCCCAAAAAGCGCGCCUCAGUUCGGAUUGCAGGCUGCAACUCGCCUGCAUGAAGCCGGAAUCGCUAGUAAUCGCGGGUCAGCAUACCGCGGUGAAUAUGUUCCUGAGCCUUGUACACACCGCCCG